AACGAACGCUGGCGGCAUGCCUAACACAUGCAAGUCGAACGAGACCUUCGGGUCUAGUGGCGCACGGGUGCGUAACGCGUGGGAACCUGCCCUUAGGUUCGGAAUAACUCCCCGAAAGGGGUGCUAAUACCGGAUAAUGUCUUCGGACCAAAGAUUUAUCGCCUUUGGAUGGGCCCGCGUUGGAUUAGCUAGUUGGUAGGGUAAAAGCCUACCAAGGCGACGAUCCAUAGCUGGUCUGAGAGGAUGAUCAGCCACACUGGGACUGAGACACGGCCCAGACUCCUACGGGAGGCAGCAGUGGGGAAUUUUGGACAAUGGGCGAAAGCCUGAUCCAGCAAUGCCGCGUGAGUGAUGAAGGCCUUAGGGCUGUAAAGCUCUUUUACCCGGGAUGAUAAUGACAGUACCGGGAGAAUAAGCUCCGGCUAACUCCGUG
rnacentral:rRNA from 1 species